CCUACGGGGGGCUGCAGUGGGGAAUAUUGCACAACGGGCGCAAGCCUGAUGCAGCCAUGCCGCGUGUGUGAAGAAGGCCUUCGGGUUGUAAAGCACUUUCAGCGGGGAGGAAGGCGGUGAGGUUAAUAACCUCAUCGAUUGACGUUACCCGCAGAAGAAGCACCGGCUAACUCCGUGCCAGCAGCCGCGGUAAUACGGAGGGUGCAAGCGUUAAUCGGAAUUACUGGGCGUAAAGCGCACGCAGGCGGUCUGUCAAGUCGGAUGUGAAAUCCCCGGGCUCAACCUGGGAACUGCAUUCGAAACUGGCAGGCUAGAGUCUUGUAGAGGGGGGUAGAAUUCCAGGUGUAGCGGUGAAAUGCGUAGAGAUCUGGAGGAAUACCGGUGGCGAAGGCGGCCCCCUGGACAAAGACUGACGCUCAGGUGCGAAAGCGUGGGGAGCAAACAGGAUUAGAUACCCUAGUAGUC
rnacentral:rRNA from 1 species